CUAGCUGUAAACGAUGGAUACUAGGCGUUGAGAGUAUCGACCCUCUCAGUGUCGUAGCUAACGCGUUAAGUAUCCCGCCUGGGGAGUACGCGCGCAAGCGUGAAACUCAAAGGAAUUGACGGGGGCCCGCACAAGCGGUGGAGUAUGUGGUUUAAUUCGAUGCAACGCGAAGAACCUUACCAGGGCUUGACAUGUCCGGAACCCUGCCCAAAGGCGGGGGUGCCUACGGGAACGGGAACACAGGUGGUGC
rnacentral:rRNA from 1 species